rnacentral:tRNA from 1 species
UGUCUCGUAGUUCAAUAAGAAUUAUAAAUUGCAAACUUAUAGGUGAACUGUGUUCCGAGGCUU